UGACAGAAUCAGUGCUUCUUAAAUUAUUGG
rnacentral:piRNA from 1 species